rnacentral:lncRNA from 1 species
CCCCCCCCCCUCCCUACACGAAGAGACCAGGGAGAGAACGCACGCGAUCUCGUCGCCGGACGCCGGCGAGAUAGCGAGAACCUUCCUGUGCCGUCGUUUUUUCCGGCCCCGACCAAGCUAACCUUUCCACGCCGCCCAGCGCGCGCGUCCGUUAUCGAACAGAUGCAGGCCGUCCCUUUCCUCGCCAACGACGACGACGACGACAUCGCGAGAUUCGGGCCACGGAGGCGAGGAACACAGAGAAGCCUCGCCGGGACAGAGACAUCGAAGACGAUGGAUAGCCGCCGAGACAGGGAGGAGUAGACGUGCAGAGGCGGCUAGACCGGCGCACGGUGCGUCUCGUUCCAAGGUAUGACAAACAUCGAUUCUCGGAGUUCACUUUGAAAGGCGCGACGUACAACUACAGCAGCCACGGAAAGACACCGGAAAAGAACGUCUGUCGUCCUUGUCAGGUGAUUCAGGCCACGGUUGCUUGCCAGAACCGACUGCAAGCUCAGUUCGUGAGCAACAUGGAAGAAUUCAAGCGCCGAGUUCCAUAUCUCGUCCACAGGAAGUAUCUUCUUACAUUCCCAAAUGAUCCGACAGUGCAGGCACAGGGAUCCGUGUCUACAAUGCAAAGAGUAAAGAAACCAAGAAAGAAAAAAAAAAGAGAGAGAAGAAGAAAGAAAUCAAGCUGUGUGAGUGGAAAUCCCGUCAGACGUGGACACCCUGUCCCUGCAGUGGCGUGUAGCAUGCGGGUCCCGUUACGUUGGUUAAGCAAGUAAGUAUAUAACUGUAUAUAUAAAGGCAGCACACGGCGAACGAAAUGGAUGGCAGUCGAAUAAAAGUGACAUUUUUGCUGAA